CGCACGGGCAGCACCCUGUGGGGAGACGCCUGUUUUGUGGGCGGGCAUUCUGCUCCCAGUGUCCCCCAGCACCGCAGCAGGCUUAGCAGCCACGCUGCCCUCCUGGCUGCCUCUCCCAGAGCCCUCCCCGAGGCGGCGAGGAGGCAGCCAGCUGCCCCAGGUGUGAAGCUGGACGGGUCCUGCCUGUUUGCCCUGUGACCAUCACCUGAGAUGCGCCCUCCUCGCUCAGGCGCGUGGCUGGUUUGUGGCGGGGGACCCCUCCCCUCUGCCCUUCCCGGUCCCCGCCUGCAGAGCCCAGCCUGGGACAGCUCUUCCUGCGCUGGGGCCUGACAUGCCUCCCGUCGGCGGCCGGUCUGGCUCCCUGUGCCCAGGGCCUCACAGCUAAGAACGUGGAAGCAGGAGCCUGUGUCUGUGCCGGGGCUCCCAGGGCUCGGCCACGCCGCCCACCGCCUCCCUGGCCGGACGGAACGUCAGCUAGGACACGUCGGCCUGCCUAGAAGGUCCUCCACCCACAGGAAGCCAGGGCCCUGAGCUGCGGUCCAGCUUCCAGCCCGGUGACCCGCGGGCGGCUCUGCCAGGCCCCGGAUGGCCGGGGGCAGGCGGAGACACCGCGGACAGGCCAGAAGACAGUAGGGCUGCGGGGACGGGCAGGCGUCUCCGAGGCAGGAGUCUCGGGCUCCCCAGCGAUCUCUGCCCACGGUGGCCUGGAGACGGGGCCGCCUCGGUCCCGACGUACUGGCUGCUCCCUGGACUGUCCAGCAGAGGCCCAGCCCUCAGGGGACAGGUCUUCCCUCCUGCCUCUGCCGCGCUGCUGGGGACUCUCAGGCAGGUGCUUCCAGAGAAGGCUCCUGUACAGAAAGAGGGGCCGGCUCCAGGGCCUGUGGUCCCCACGUGGACACCAAGGCAGGGUCACUGUGCAUGUCAGAGAUGAACGUUCACAUUAGAAAAUGCAACGCCGGGGGGCACCUGGGGACGCGGUUGGCGGAGCUCAGUUUGUGGCCUCAGGGUCCUGGGGUCGAGCCCGCAUCGGGCUUCCUGCGGGCGGGAAGCCUGCGUCUCCCUCUCUCGCUCCCCCUGCUUGUGUUCCCUCUCUCUCUGUUCUCCCUGACAAAUAAGUAGAUAAAAUCUUAAAAAAAAAAAAAAAAAAAGGAAAAAGAAAAAGAAGAAUUUAUCUCAGUAAUGCGAGGCCUGCUUCUUCUCAGAAAAUCUACACAUAUUUACCACAUCAAUAAGUGAAAACGGAAAAAAAUCAUGUCUACCAUAUUCAAUGCAGAAACAACUGAUAAAGUUUAAUACCUAUUUGUGAUGAAAACUCUCAAUAAAUCUGGGUUAUAAAAGAAAUUUUUUAAUUUGAUGGAGGGUAUAUUUUUAGAACCCAGCAACCACACGUAUUUGGUGGAAAACCCAGCCUCACUGCCUUCAGGUUUGUGAGUGGAUGAGAUGCCCACCAUCCUGUGGCUGUAGGUCCAGCCAGCUCUACAAGGAAAGAGCGAGAAAUCAGGGGUAGAAGGCUUGGAGGGGAAGGCGACAGUUGCCUUCUGAAAACGACCCCAUGAUGUCCUUAGGGAAGACGGACUGCCGGCGUGGGGGUGGCUGUGGGCGAGGAGGCCAACCCGGGACUCUGGGGAGCUUCCCUCUAGAACAGCAAGCGCCUGGGGGACAGGAUAAAAUGUCAGAAAGAGGGAAAUUGUGAACAGGACGGCCGCCUGCUUCGUGAGUGCACGGCCCCUUGUUACACAGUCGGGGGCUGGCGGGGGCCGCGCGGUGGCCCUUCCCUAGCAGAGGUGCGUGAGUGACCGAUCUGCAGCCUUCUCCAGAUGCGAAACGACCCCAUGAGACGAGAAGGCGGAUGUCUCCCCUGAAGCCGAUGGAAACCAGGCCAUUAUUUCAGGGGCUCCUGGGGCCCUUCCAGGAAGCCCGGGGGAGGACACAGGCGGCGGUAAUGACCUCCCCCGGGAGCUCCGAAGCUCCACAGCGCGGAGUAAUUAAGAGCUGAGUAAAUUGAUAAGAAUUACCAGG